rnacentral:rRNA from 1 species
ACAGCAGUCCCACGGUAAUACGGAGGGAGCUAGCGUUGUUCGGAAUUACUGGGCGUAAAGCGCGCGUAGGCGGUUCGUUAAGUCUGUUGUGAAAGCCCCGGGCUCAACCUGGGAAUGGCAAUGGAUACUGGCGAGCUAGAGUGUGUCAGAGGAUGGUGGAAUUCCCGGUGUAGCGGUGAAAUGCGUAGAGAUCGGGAGGAACAUCAGUGGCGAAGGCGGCCAUCUGGGACAACACUGACGCUGAGGCACGAAAGCGUGGGGAGCAAACAGGAUUAGAUACCCCAGUAGUCCCUGUCUCUUAUACC